rnacentral:rRNA from 1 species
UUAAGUUAGAAAGGGCGCACGGUGGAUGCCUUGACACUAGGAGUCGAUGAAGGACGGGACUAACGCCGAUAUGCUUCGGGGAGCUGUAAGUAAGCUUUGAUCCGAAGAUUUCCGAAUGGGGAAACCCACCAUACGUAAUGGUAUGGUAUCCUUAUCUGAAUACAUAGGGUAAGGAAGACAGACCCAGGGAACUGAAACAUCUAAGUACCUGGAGGAAGAGAAAGCAAAUGCGAUUUCCUGAGUAGCGGCGAGCGAAACGGAACAUAGCCCAAACCAAGAGGCUUGCCUCUUGGGGUUGUAGGACAUUCUAUACGGAGUUACAAAGGAACGAGGUAGACGAAGCGACCUGGAAAGGUCCGUCGUAGAGGGUAACAACCCCGUAGUCGAAACUUCGUUCUCUCUUGAAUGUAUCCUGAGUACGGCGGAACACGUGAAAUUCCGUCGGAAUCUGGGAGGACCAUCUCCCAAGGCUAAAUACUCCCUAGUGAUCGAUAGUGAACCAGUACCGUGAGGGAAAGGUGAAAAGCACCCCGGAAGGGGAGUGAAAGAGAUCCUGAAACCGUGUGCCUACAAAUAGUCAGAGCCCGUUAAGGGUGAUGGCGUGCCUUUUGUAGAAUGAACCGGCGAGUUACGAUCCCGUGCGAGGUUAAGCUGAAGAGGCGGAGCCGCAGCGAAAGCGAGUCUGAAUAGGGCGUUUAGUACGUGGUCGUAGACCCGAAACCAGGUGAUCUACCCAUGUCCAGGGUGAAGUUCAGGUAACACUGAAUGGAGGCCCGAACCCACGCACGUUGAAAAGUGCGGGGAUGAGGUGUGGGUAGCGGAGAAAUUCCAAUCGAACCUGGAGAUAGCUGGUUCUCCCCGAAAUAGCUUUAGGGCUAGCCUUAAGUGUAAGAGUCUUGGAGGUAGAGCACUGAUUGGACUAGGGGUCCUCAUCGGAUUACCGAAUUCAGUCAAACUCCGAAUGCCAAUGACUUAUCCUUAGGAGUCAGACUGCGAGUGAUAAGAUCCGUAGUCAAAAGGGAAACAGCCCAGACCGCCAGCUAAGGUCCCAAAGUGUGUAUUAAGUGGAAAAGGAUGUGGAGUUGCUUAGACAACUAGGAUGUUGGCUUAGAAGCAGCCACCAUUUAAAGAGUGCGUAAUAGCUCACUAGUCGAGUGACUCUGCGCCGAAAAUGUACCGGGGCUAAAUACACCACCGAAGCUGCGGAUUGAUACCAAUGGUAUCAGUGGUAGGGGAGCGUUCUAAGGACAGUGAAGUCAGACCGGAAGGACUGGUGGAGUGCUUAGAAGUGAGAAUGCCGGUAUGAGUAGCGAAAGACGGGUGAGAAUCCCGUCCACCGAAUGCCUAAGGUUUCCUGAGGAAGGCUCGUCCGCUCAGGGUUAGUCAGGACCUAAGCCGAGGCCGACAGGCGUAGGCGAUGGACAACAGGUUGAUAUUCCUGUACCACCUCUUUAUCGUUUGAGCAAUGGAGGGACGCAGAAGGAUAGAAGAAGCGUGCGAUUGGUUGUGCACGUCCAAGCAGUUAGGCUGAUAAGUAGGCAAAUCCGCUUAUCGUGAAGGCUGAGCUGUGAUGGGGAAGCUCCUUAUGGAGCGAAGUCUUUGAUUCCCCGCUGCCAAGAAAAGCUUCUAGCGAGAUAAAAGGUGCCUGUACCGCAAACCGACACAGGUAGGCGAGGAGAGAAUCCUAAGGUGUGCGAGAGAACUCUGGUUAAGGAACUCGGCAAAAUGACCCCGUAACUUCGGGAGAAGGGGUGCUUUCUUAACGGAAAGCCGCAGUGAAUAGGCCCAAGCGACUGUUUAGCAAAAACACAGCUCUCUGCGAAGCCGUAAGGCGAAGUAUAGGGGGUGACACCUGCCCGGUGCUGGAAGGUUAAGGAGAGGGGUUAGCGUAAGCGAAGCUCUGAACUGAAGCCCCAGUAAACGGCGGCCGUAACUAUAACGGUCCUAAGGUAGCGAAAUUCCUUGUCGGGUAAGUUCCGACCCGCACGAAAGGUGUAACGAUUUGGGCACUGUCUCAACCAGAGACUCGGUGAAAUUAUAGUACCUGUGAAGAUGCAGGUUACCCGCGACAGGACGGAAAGACCCCGUGGAGCUUUACUGUAGCCUGAUAUUGAAUUUUGGUACAGUUUGUACAGGAUAGGCGGGAGCCUUUGAAACCGGAGCGCUAGCUUCGGUGGAGGCGCUGGUGGGAUACCGCCCUGACUGUAUUGAAAUUCUAACCUACGGGUCUUAUCGACCCGGGAGACAGUGUCAGGUGGGCAGUUUGACUGGGGCGGUCGCCUCCUAAAGUGUAACGGAGGCGCCCAAAGGUUCCCUCAGAAUGGUUGGAAAUCAUUCGUAGAGUGCAAAGGCAUAAGGGAGCUUGACUGCGAGACCUACAAGUCGAGCAGGGACGAAAGUCGGGCUUAGUGAUCCGGUGGUUCCGCAUGGAAGGGCCAUCGCUCAACGGAUAAAAGCUACCCCGGGGAUAACAGGCUUAUCUCCCCCAAGAGUCCACAUCGACGGGGAGGUUUGGCACCUCGAUGUCGGCUCAUCGCAUCCUGGGGCUGUAGUCGGUCCCAAGGGUUGGGCUGUUCGCCCAUUAAAGCGGUACGCGAGCUGGGUUCAGAACGUCGUGAGACAGUUCGGUCCCUAUCCGUCGUGGGCGUAGGAAAUUUGAGAGGAGCUGUCCUUAGUACGAGAGGACCGGGAUGGACGCACCGCUGGUGUACCAGUUGUUCUGCCAAGGGCAUAGCUGGGUAGCUAUGUGCGGAAGGGAUAAGUGCUGAAAGCAUCUAAGCAUGAAGCCCCCCUCAAGAUGAGAUUUCCCAUAGCGUAAGCUAGUAAGAUCCCUGAAAGAUGAUCAGGUUGAUAGGUUCGAGGUGGAAGCAUGGUGACAUGUGGAGCUGACGAAUACUAAUAGAUCGAGGACUUAACCAU